rnacentral:lncRNA from 1 species
GGAAGAGCCGAAGAGGCAGACACCAGCAGCUGCCAGCCCUGCCGGUCUGCUGGCAAUUCUUCCCCCGAGACUGCCGCGCUCAUCUGCUGGACCUCUCUCUCUGCCCAUCCUCUCUGCCACUCUCCAUCCCGCGGAAGUGCUGCAGCUCAGCCUGUGGGCCUGCUCCGUCCCGAGCCAGCUCCCUGCAGGAAGGCUGCUGUCGGCACCCAGCAGACACACGUGUCUGGGAGUCAGGUGGAGAGACGGAGGCUGGAGGCAGGAGCGACUUGUCCACAGCUCAGACACUUUAGUGGAGCGGCACAGAUCCCUGCUGCCAGGCAGGUGUUCUCUGUCACCACCCGGGGUGUCCAGGGAGCUCUGAGUCCCCUUAGGCCACGAGUCCCAGAAGGAAGAGGGGAGGGUAGGGUAUCCUGACUGUGGAGCCCAGUGGGUAGAGGGUGGGGUGUCCUGACUGUGGAGCCCAGUGGGUAGAGGGUGGGGUGUCCUGACUGUGGAGCCCAGUGGGUAGAUGGUGGGGUGUCCUGACUGUGGAGCCCAGUGGGUAGACGGUGAGGUGUCCUGACUGUGGAGCCCAGUGGGUAGAGGGUGGGGUGCCCUGACUGUGGAGCCCAGUGGGUAGAUGGUGGGGUGUCCUGACUGUGGAGCCCAGUGGGUAGAGGGUGGGGUGUCCUGACUGUGGACCCCAGUGGGUAGAGGGUGGGGUGUCCUGACUGUGGACCCCAGUGGGUAGAGGCGGGGUGUCCUGACUGUGGACCCCAGUGCGUAGAGGCGGGGUGUCCUGACUGUGGACCCCAGUGCGUAGCGUCUGGGUCUCUGCUGCCAAGCUGCCUCUCUCGGGGCAGUUGGCCUCCAGCUGAAUCCAGCCACCAGCAGGAGGUGGACGGCUGUGUCCUGAGUGCUUAUUUCCUUGGCACCUGCUCUAGGCCUGGGGAGCUUCACAGCUUUCUAAGUCAGAAACUACAAGAGGGGCUUCUCUCUCUUCUCCCUCUCCUGUGGCCUUUUGUGGCUUCUUUCAGAGGGUGAGGAGCACUCAUUCACCCUCCACCCUCUCAGCUUGAUUAAGCAGGAAGCAGGUGCCCCUCGGCGGGGGGGAUAGUGACAUCACCCUGCUUUCAGGCCAGACCACCAGCCCUGAAGCUGAGGGUAGGACAGCAGUCUACUCCAAACACAGCCCAAGCUUCUCCUGUUUGCUCACGAGCCUCAGUUUCCCCUUCUGCAAGCUGAGCUGUGCAUACUCUUCCCCUGAGGGUGGCCUUUCUCAGGGCCAUGAACCUACUAAAGAGCUUUCAGGCCACAAAGCCUGAUUCAGAAGCAGAGACGGUUGCUAAAUUCCACCUGUGAAAUCUGACACUUCUGUCUGUUCUUACACUCAGACCCUCUCACACAGCUGGGCUUUGGAAUUAGCCCUGUGGGAGCCUGCGUGGCGGCAUAGCGGAUAGAGCCACUGCCUGCAACCCCAGCAUCCCGUAUUGGUGCUGGUUCGAGUCCUGGCUGCUCCACUUCCAAUCCAGCUCCCUGCUAAUGCCCUGGAAAAAGCAGUGGAAGAUGGCCCAAGUAUAUAGGCCCAUGCACCCAUGUGGGAGACCCAGAAGAAGCUUCUGGCUUCAGCCUGGCCCAGCCUUGACCAUUGCAACCAUCAGUCUCUCCCUCCACCCCUUCUCUCUGUAGCUCUGACUUUCAAAUAAAUAAAUAUGAAAUAGGCCUUUCA